GGGGCAGCCAGGUAUUGACGGGAGGCCUGAGAGGUAGACCGGCGUGCAGAGGGUGUAUCGUACCUCUCGAAUCCAUGAUGCGAACACUUUUAAUUGGCGAGAAUACUCUUGCUAUGGCUGCCUAAUCAUAUACUGAUUAGCCACCAUGUGCCCCGCGCUUGAGGUACCAUACACAGCGCGCUGGCACUCAAAACUUGGUAACGUACGGGCUGUAGCUUCAUCUACUGCACCCGCUAUGAAUGACAGAUGUAAGGAGCCGGUUGGUGGGUCACUUGACCUGCCGUCUCCCGACAAUCAACAAGUGACUACGCACCGUAGAUAGUCUAUCUGUCACUUGUCCGGACGUGGGUUCAACUCCCACCUGCUCCACAA
rnacentral:tmRNA from 1 species